UUCUUAGAAGAAGUGCUCUGGAACUUUUUUUGGUUGACCGGUCAAACUUCUUCUUUGAUUUUGGGUGUACUGAGGGGAGAAGAAAUGCUUACCGAGCAAUUGUUCAAUUACGUCCUCCUCAUUUGAACAACAUUUAUCUAGCAACUCAGAGACCUGAACAACUUCUGAAGAGAACUCAACUUAUGGAACGCUGGGCUAGGUGGGAGAUCAGCAAUUUUGAAUAUCU
rnacentral:misc_RNA from 1 species